GAAUUGACGGGGGCCCGCACAAGCGGUGGAGCAUGUGGUUUAAUUCGAUGCAACGCGAAGAACCUUACCUACUCUUGACAUCCAGAGAAUCCUGUAGAGAUACGGGAGUGCCUUCGGGAAUUCUGAGACAGGUGCUGCAUGGCUGUCGUCAGCUCGUGUCGUGAGAUGUUGGGUUAAGUCCCGCAACGAGCGCAACCCUUAUCCUUAGUUGCCAGCACGUAAUGGUGGGAACUCUAGGGAGACUGCCGGUGACAAACCGGAGGAAGGCGGGGACGACGUCAAGUCAUCAUGGCCCUUACGAGUAGGGCUACACACGUGCUACAAUGGUCGGUACAGAGGGUUGCAAGCCUGCGAGGGUGAGCCAAUCUCAAAAGCCGAUCGUAGUCCGGAUUGGAGUCUGCAACUCGACUCCAUGAAGUCGGAAUCGCUAGUAA
rnacentral:rRNA from 1 species